AUGGCCCAGUCGGUGUCUUCUUAAUUAAAAACAUUUCAUUUGAAUUCAAAAUACAAAACAUACUACACCAAUGUGGUUUGAAUAGAACCAAAUGUCAAUGUUCAAUGUUUAUCUCAUAAACAUAUGAAAAAAUCAUCCACUUUAUGAAAAGAAAUUAAGUAAUUUAAUACAAUGUCAACUCACAGUUAAACAGCUACAAUAAAGUUACAUGAAGUCCUAAGAAGCAGCAAAGUAUUGUUAAUUAUUGCCUAAGGUCCGGCCAAACUACAGACUGACAUUGUUGAUUGACAAUUUACUCAUAUCCAGAUUCAAUCGUUUUUU